rnacentral:rRNA from 1 species
GAUGAACGCUGGCGGCGUGCCUAAUACAUGCAAGUCGAACGGACAGGCGCCGGCCUUGUUGCUCGGAUGUUAGGGGCGGAGGGGUGAGUAACACGAGGAUAAUCUCCCUAUCACUCUGGGAUAACUUCGGGAAACCGGAGCUAAUACCGGAUGACAUGUUGAACCACAUGCAUCAUCAGUGAAAGACGGUGUUGGUGUCACUGAUAGAUGGAUCCGCGCCGUAUUAGCUGGUUGGUGAGGUAACGGCCUACCAAGGCAGCGAUGCGUAGCCGACCUGAGAGGGGGAUCGCCCACCCUAGAGCUGGGACGCGGACCAGGCUCCUACGAGAGGCAGCAGUAGGGAAUCUUACGCAAUGGUGGAAAGCCUGACGGAGCAGCGCCGCGUGAGUGGAGAAGGUCUUCCGAGCGUAAUGAUCUGUUAUUGGUGGUGAACCAAUGUGUACGUGUCUGUGCACGUCUUGACGGUACCUGAUCAGAAAGCCCCGGCUAACUACGUG